AGGAUCGGCCGGGAAUCGAACCCGGGCCGCCCGCGUGGCAGGCGAGCAUUUUACCAAUGAGCCACCGAUGCC
rnacentral:tRNA from 1 species